rnacentral:lncRNA from 1 species
UUUUUUUUUGUAAUCCUCCAUGGCCACUAGUAGGAAAAUGGCCUAUAGCCCGGGACUAAACAACCGGGACUAAUGCAAGCCCUGGUUCGGCCCCGAACCGGGGCUAAUGGUCCUCCACGUGGCGGGGCUUGGAGCGAGGGGGGAAGGGGUAUUAGUCCCGGUUCUUAUUACGAACCGGGACUAAAGGCUCCACCUGAUUUAUUUUAUUUCACCCAAAAAGGUAGAUUUGUUUUUGAUUUUUUUUCACCCAUCCUCACUGAGGACUUAUUCUAAAUCGUCUAACUUCUCGACCGGUCACCCAUCCUCUAACUGCUUCAACCCGAGCACACUUAAUUUUCUGGUUCUAUCGCCCCUAGUUGCCAAGUCUCCACUUGUUGUUUGCCUGACAAUAGUAAGCUAUCAAUCCUAAACAACCUGGGUUCUUGAUGUCAUGUCACAUGAUUUAAUUUUUUGAAUUCAAACAAUUAUAAAAAUAAACAAAAUAAGUAAUAAUAAUAGUGAAUUUCAAUGAAAACAACAUAAUAUUUUUAAAUAAAAUUAUUUUUCCUUAUUUUUCUCGGAAAAAACUUCUUUUUGAAAUAACUUUUUUUACAUUUGGAAUUUUGAGCAUGUGAGAAAAAUUCAGCGGGCAAACUUUUUUUGACGUCGUAUGCAAAAGUUAUGGCCGUUUUACAUUUUUUUCCUUUUUUGCAAAAACGGUCAAAAUUCAUAUCUCAAAAUUUCUAUACCAACUAGACACUAAAACCUAACUACAUCUCAAAGGAUUUUAUUUUUUGAAGACUUUAUCAUUUUUUCUUUAUUUUCUACAAAACUAAAAAAGACGGUCCGCGGGGGGUAGAGUUUGAAAAUUUCAGAAUCCCCCUUUAGCCAAGAGUCCAAUCAUACCCGUCGACUACAUCUGCUAGCACCGUCCCCGCCAGAGUCACAACUAAGGUUAACCAAGCCAGAGUAACCCUUUCUAACUUUAUUUGCUAUUUUUCAUGCAUUUAAUGAUUUUUUGAGCUAAAUGUCCCUAAUAUGGAAAAGCACUAUUAUGAACUCUGAAAAUGUUGACACGUGGCAUGGUAUUAUCAUUUCACCCACAUAGCUUGUGCUAAAAAGUUGAGAGGGUUACGGCAAAAACUGGAUGCACUUCGUGUACAAGCUGGACCAUCUCCUUCGAAGUAUCCAGGUUUCACACGAAAACCCAUCUGCUACAAAGGCAUUUUAUUUUUUACUUAUUUCAACUCCAGAAUUUUUGUGUACUUUGUGCAUUCAAUAUGCACCAUUCAAAACCACAUCCUAAAAUUUCAACCCUUUAUAACUUCAUUUGCUAUUUUUCAUGGAUUUAAUGAUUUUUUGACCUAAAUGACCCUGAAAUUGAAAAGCUCGACAAAUGAACUCUGAAAAGGUUUAAACGUGGCAUGGUAUCAUCAUUUCACCCACAUAUCAUGUGCUAAAAAGUUGAGAGGGUUACGACAAAAACUGGAUACACUUCGUGUACAAAACGGACAAUCUCUUUCGAAGUAUCAGGGUUUCGAACAAAAACUCAUCUCUUGCUAAGGGACUUCAUUUUUUGAACUUAUUUGAACUCCAUACUUUUUGUGUAUUCAAAAUGCACCGUUCAAAGCCACAUCAUAAGUUUUCAACAUUUUGUGACUUCAUUUGGUAUUUUUCACGCAUUUACUUAUUUUUUGUGCUAAUUGACCCUGAAAUUGAAAAGCACUACAAAUGAACUCUGAAAAGGUUUAAAGUUGGCAUGGUAUCAUCAUUUCACCCACAUGGCAUGUGCUAAAAAGUUGAGGGAGUUACGGCAAAAACUGAAUGUACUUCGUGUACAAAACAGACAAUCUCCUUCGAAGUAUCAAGGGUUGAGACGAAAACCCAUCUGCUAGAAAGAGAUUUCAUUUUUUUAACUUAUUUGAACUCCAUACGUUUUGUGUGUUCAAUAUGCAUCAUUCAAAGUCACCUCAUAAAUUUUCAACCCUUUCUUACCUCAUUUUCUAUUUUCCAUGCAUUUAAUGAUUUUUUGAGCUAAAUGCCCCUAAAAAUGAAAAGUGCUACAAAUGAACUCUGAAAAGGCUGAAACUUGUCAUGGAAUCAUCAUUUCACCCACAUGGCAUGUGCUACAAAGUUGAGAGGGUUACGGCAAAAACUGGAUGCACUUCGUGUACAAACUGGAUCAUCUCCUUCGAAGUAUCAAGGUUUCAGACGAAAACCCAUCCGCUACAAAGGCAUUUUUUUAAAAUUAUUUCAACUCUAGACUUUUUGUGCAUUCAAUAUGCAUCAUAUUACAACAUGUUACAAUCUACAGAAAGAGCUAACUAAAAAUAAUAAAAAACAACAAUUAAAUGACUAAAACAACUAUAUAAGCAAAACAAUAUUGUUUUAAUUAAAAACCUAAUUUAAAUUAUUCUAAAAAUAACAAAAUAAAUCUUACCGUGACAACAAUCUAACACAUGACUAGGAGCAAAAAGAAUUAAAUUAAAACUAUUUGUAAACUCAAAUUAUUCACAAUUUAGGUUUGAAGCAAAAUUGAACAAAUUCAAAUUUAAACCAAUCAAAUUUAAAAACUAAUGGCACAAACAGAAACUAGACAAUAUUUUGAAUCUAAUGCAAAAAGAAUCACUCAAAAACAUCAAAUAUCCUAAAAGAUAUAAGCAAUUUAAAACAUAAACUACAAAUAGAAAACAAAUUAAAAAAAAUUCAAAACCCCUUUAGUCAUGGUUCGUGUCUUGAACCGGGACUAAAGGUCCCUUUAGUCCCGGUUCAAGACACGAACCGUGACUAAAGCCUCCAAACCCUUUAGUCCCGGUUCAAGACACGAACCGUGACUAAAGCCUCCAAACCCUUUAGUCCCGGUUCAAGACACGAACCGUGACUAAAGCCUCCAAACCCUUUAGUCCCGGUUCAAGACACGAACCGGGACUAAAGGUCCCAUUUAAACCGGGACUAAUGCCCGACUGGCGCCCUUGUUGCUCGAACCAGGACUAAUGCUAACAUUAGUCCCGGUUCGUAAUGGAACCGGGACUAAUGUGUAAAUUAAGCUGGGACGGAAGCCCUUUUUUCUACUAGUGGGCGCUUAUAAAUGUGGUUGUCGAUGAAGCUUCUCGUUUGGCUAGUUUGUUUGAGUGCCAACUGGGUAAGAUGCCUUUCACUUAUCUUGCUUUACCUAUGUGUAACACUAGUUGCAAGAUUCAUGACUUAAUGCCUUCGGUUAAUAUAUAGAAUGGAAAGGAGAAUGACAACUAUCUCUUCUCUAGUUUCACGAGGUGCUAGGUUGAAACUUUUGAGGUCUACCAUUUCAUCCAUGCUGAUAUUACUAUCUUUGUAGUGUCUAGAUCCCUGUGGCAUAACUAGACAACUAGAGAGAAUUGAGCAGAAUGCCUCUAGUAUUAAUGCUAAUAUCCCAAAUCAACCAUUGUCGACAUUUCAUCUAAUAUAUAGACUGAAGGAGAAUGGUGGUAUGGGCAUCAGCUGGAAAAUUCAACACCAAGCUUUGCUUAGAGAAGACAUGCGCAAAUUUUAUAACAAAGCUCAUGUUCUAUGGUAUAUUUGCUAUGGAAUUAUUACAAUCAUGGACUCAUGCCUCACGCAACAGUCCUUUCUGGCUCUUACGAAUGGAGGAUAUUUUGAAACUUACACUAGAUUCGAAUAGCACUGACCGGCAAAAUAGUCUCAUCACUGACACACUUUUGGCUCGUCCGAUGCCUUGGGCUGAGUGAUGACAUUGUCACCACAGACGGGACAUCUGGCCUCUGAAUGAUGCCUAACCAGUAUUGUCCGCUGGCUGGUCGGUGAUAACAAUUUCACUCACUUUUGGAUGUUUGCGCUUUAUUUAUGUUUGUUUAUAAAAAAUGCAAAUGAAAUUGACAAAAACAUAGGAAUACCAUACACAUGCAUAAAUCAUUCAUUUGCACACUGGAUACUUUGCUUUUCACGCACGAUUCACAUGUAAAUUUACACAGUUCACAUCUACCAUAUAAAGAGUACUAAGCAAAACUGCACACUUCAUAAUACACAUGUCACUGAGGCCAUGUUCGGUAAUCCACCAGAUCUUGGAAUGUGUGGAGCUGGGAAACUGCAGCUCCCGUAUUAUGAACUACAGCUCCACCAGGUCCGCUCCCGGAGCUGUGGAGCGGAGCAUCUCCCAACAUGGCCUGAAUAUACCCAACCUCUUAUCAAACUAGAGAGGACUUACUCCCUCUGUACUUUCUCUGUUUCUAAAUAUAAGUUUUUUAAAGGUUUCAUUAGAGAACUACAUAUAGUAUAUAGACAUACUUUAGAGUAUAGAUUCAUUCAUUUUGCUCCGUAUGUAGUCUUCUAUUGAAAUCUCUAAAAAGACUUAUAUUUAAGAACAGAGGGAGUAAGUCCGCAUGCAACAAAAUUUGUCAAGACAAGUAACAUAAAAUAUCCAUUACCUGAUUUAAUACAUGUAGUUAAGAAUAUCAUAGCUAAGCUCAAUGUAAUUACACCCUGCUCGAGGAAUCUCUCGUCUGCUCCAAAAAGCAGCAGAUAAUAACAAAAGUGGAUAUUUACUGUGUGUCUAGAGAUGACAAAAUAUUUCAAGAUUGGUUUCAAAUCCUAAGAAACUGUUCUUUUCUUGAAUGAUACUCACACUAAGUACACUCAACCCGUAUCCGAAAUGAGGAGUCUAGAGUAGCCCGGACCUACUACCCUUAAGACUUGGUCUUCCCUUCUUUGAUUUUUGUGUAGUGCAACUAAAAGGUAUGUCAACUGAAAAUAUUUUUUUAUCCAGAUUUAGUUGAAUUUCAUUAGCAAUUGAAAAGUGAAGUAAUAUGUGUAGGCCAAAUAUGCCGUUCACUUGAACAAUAUUCCACUCUGUCUCCUAAUGAGGUAGUUGGUUGCGUUUAAAAUAUUUUCUAGCAUAUUCAUCACUACAUUGCCACAUAUAACAUGCAUAAUAUAUAAUAUUUUCUAACAUAUUCAUAGGUACAUGGAACACAUAGAUAUUGUAAGAUUCAUAGCAAGAUAAUUACAUGCAUCCAGAAUUGUAACACAUCCAUGGCAUGCAUAUCACAAUUGAAAUUGCAACAUAAUUAUGAAGUAAUGGAGCUAACCACCGUGGAUGACAACAUUGGGGAUGCAUGAGACACGUCAACAAUAGGGCAGAUCCUCGGGGCAGAGAAACCCCGACAAUGACACAACUACGAUGACUGAUACAACGACCACCCGCGUUGCCCUCGAAGACCCGGUGUCCUAUGGAAGGGUGGUAAUGAAUCGACGGAAAUGCGGCAACGUCCCAACGAGGAAGCUCCAUCGGUCCAUUGGGUCGUCAUACGAGCGACAUCGUCGGGACGCAAUGACCGUGAAGGAAGGUCGUGGGGCCGUUGGCAAGCCCCCCACAUAUAAGCGAACGGAGGAAGAGGAGGGAUGAUAGGUACGCCAACAGGAUGGAAGGACUCCAUGGCGGCUGUGAGGGUAUAGAAUGAAAACAUGGAGUGGACAAUGAUUAAAACAAGGCGCGUACAGAACAACACCAACAUGCUAAAAAUCAAAAGGGCAAGAUUGAAGAUGACAUUACAGACGGGUCAAAUACAGGAGCCAAUUUGAUUAUCUUAGGUCCAAUUUGAACAUCGGGACACCAUAUAAUUGAACAAUAUUUUGUAGACCAAUCUAUGAUAAUCGUCAAGAUGAGCAUAGGGAUACAUAUUACUAACACACCCUCGAGGGUCGGUCAGUGUUAUGGCUGAUUAGUGACGCAUAGUUCAAAGCCGCACAGGGAUGAGGGGCGAAUGCUAUUCUCAUAUGUAGUAUUGUCAACGAUCAAUAUAGGCCAUCUCUUCAUUCAAAGUUAAUAUGGAUGACUCUGCCCUAUUCUUCUCUGCCUGAAUGAUUGAGGGAUCUUCUCGACCUCUUUGACAUCAUUUGGCAAUGCUCUCUCUUUUGCCUUAGAUGUCAAAGUUUCUCUCAAAGAUUUUAUAGAAACGCCUGAUCAGGCCACUCUUUUGCACCUACCAAUUUCCGGUGAGGUGAUGGAUAAGCUGGAACCUCUGGAUGGUUCAUUACAUAGCCUUCAACACAACCAAACAUUGCCUGAUGUUUAUUCUUGGUCAGGAGCAUCAUUUUUUGCUAAAAGCUUCUACUCCAUUGAAAGGACGUGGAUGUCGCCUAGAGGGGUGGUGGUGAAUAGGCGCUUUAAAUGACGGUUUAGGCUUGAACAAAUGCGAAAUAAAACUAAUGUUUAAUUAGUCAAGCACAAAACCUAAAAAAACAAGGCUCACCUAUGUGCAACAAGAACUUAUGCUAAGCAAGAUAAACAAAUUAAGUGAUAGCAAGAUAUAGACCAAGAAACAAUAUGGCUAUCACAAAGUAAAUAGCGUAGGUAAAUAGGCUCGGUAAGGAGUUAACCGAGGCACGCGGAGACGACAAUGUAUCCCGAAGUUCACAUCCUUGCGGAUACUAAUCCCCGUUUGGAGUAGUGUGGAGGCACAUUGCUCCCCAAGAUGCCACUACGGUCAUCGUAAUCUCCUCACGCCCUCGCACAAUGCAAGAUGCCGUGAUUUCACUAAGGGACCCUUGAGGGUGGUCACCGAACCCGUACAAACAAGGUUGGAGCAUUCUCCACAACUUAAUUGGAGGCUCCCAACAACACCACGAAGAUUCACCACGAUGGUCUAUGGCUCCGAGAUGACCUCAAAUGCUCAGGGCAAUCUCCACAACCUAAUUGUAGACCCUGACGCUUGCCCAGAGCUUUACACCAUAAUGAUUGAGCUCCGAGGCAUCACCAAGCUUCUAGGACGCCAAAGCACCCAAGAAGGACAAGCUCUAGGGUACCAAGCACCCAAGAGUAAUAAGCUUCUCAACUUCUCACUUUCAUGUACCACCGUGGAGAACUCAAACCGAUGCAACUAAUGCAAUGGCAAGAACACACAAAGUGAUCAAGUCCCUCACGCUCAAAUCCCUCCAGAACAACAAAAGCUAUGGAGGAAUAUGAGAGGAAGACCAAGGAGCUCACUAAGAACUCCAAGUUCAAGAUCCAAGGGGUUCCCCUCACAUAGAGGAGAAAGUGAUUGGUGGAAUUAUGGAUCUAGAUCUCCUCUCUCUUUUCCCUUAAGAACUAGCAAGAAUCAUCAGAGGGAUUGAGAGUUAGCAUGCUAGAAGAAGGUCAACAAUGGGGGGCAAACACGAGCUCAACAGAUGGGGAACCAUUGGGGAAGAAGACCCCCUUAAAUAAGUUCCCCCAAAUCCAAUCGUUAUGUGCACAGGUCGUGCACAAGCGGUACUACCGCUUGGCUGAGCGGUACUACCGCUGGCACGAAAGUACCGGGCUUCAUAGGCAGAUUGAGAAAGUCAGGGAGGCGGUAGUUCUACCGGUGCGGUACUACCGCUCCUGCCAGCGGUACUUUCACUUAGCACUACCCACUCAAAAUCUGCUCGGAAGACGAAGAUACAAGAGAGCUCAAAAUAAGCGGUAGUAGUAGCGGUACUGGAGAGCGGUAGUACCACUUGAGUAGUACUACCGCUUCCACCGCAGCGGUACUUCCGCUUACGAGAAAAAAACUGCCCUGAUACUAAAAUGGCUACAAACCUGCCGUGCGGAUGAAAGAAGGGUCGGCGCAUUGGGUGCAUGGCUGACCUAAAAGAAAAACAGGGCGGACAAGCCGAUCCAAAUGUAUAAAACACGGACAAAACGAGCAUCCGUUUGGGUCGCCCUGCUGGAGUUGCUCUAACCUCCAUUAGAUAAAUAGGUAAGUAGGUAAGUGUUUUUUCCUUUUUUCCUUUGUUCCCGUUUGUAAUUAUUUAUUGCUUGCUUUUGUUUUGAAGAAAUAAAGGACGGCGGAGCUGUUACUCCAUAGUACUUACAAAAAAUGAGUUUUAUUUCUUGAUUUUCACUAGCAUGAUUACAAUCCUUCUGAAGGAGCUCAUGCAAUGCAUGUUGGAGAUUUAUUCCAAUAGUUGCAUAAUAUGGUUCGAAUGUUGUUGUUAUAUCUAGUUCAGUUAGAUGCUUAUUAUCCAGACCAUCACAAGUUCUUUAGUAAGUGUCUCUACUAAGAAUAUGUGUCAUCCUAUUCUACUAGCAAAAACCGAUGAAAAUGAUGGUAGUGACAUGGAAAAGAUACCACAGCUAUUUUGUUAUUGAUAUAAGUAAAGAAACUGAAAAUUGCAAUUGUCAAUCAGUGGGUCUUAAUGUCAAAUACAGGAAUCUUCCACCCACUAGCUGCGAGACAUCCAUUGCAGUGCUAAAUAAAAUAAACUUUUCCGAUAAUUAACAGCAAGACAAUGGUCCGCUUGUUGUAUAUUAUAAAUAUGGCACAGGUGUUGUAUAUGUGUAGGCCGUGCUAGAAUUUACAUAUGCAUAUAUGCUCCACAACCUAUGCUCGUACAAACACAGAUCAUAGAGAUGCAAAUUAUGCUCUAGUCGGAAAGCAGAGUCAUGGACAAAAGUGAAGUUCACAGAANNNNN